GCCUUUGUAGUGUAACGGUAGCACACUCGGAGCGUAAUCGAGAGGUCCAGGUUCGAAUCAUGGUGACGGCA
rnacentral:tRNA from 1 species